UGGUAGGACCCAGCGCUUGUGCCGCCAUUUUUUGUUUGGGCAAUUUUAAAUUACGACACAGGUAGGAAAGGUCCUUAAUGGGUCCUAAAUGAUACCAACCCACAUUGUGGAGGGCAGUCUGCUUUAUGGAGUCUAUGGAUUCAAAUGUGAAAUAGCAAAUAAGAUGAUCAACUGAGAUAAGGAUUGGGAAGAGGUUGUUGGAGAUUUGAGGAGAAAGAUGUGAAAUAACCAUUUAGGACAGCAUUCAGCAAGCUGGCAUGUAGGCCAAAUGUGGCUUGUCCUCUCUCUUGAAAAUAAAGUUAUUGGAACACA